rnacentral:lncRNA from 1 species
AAGCGAGCCAUAGUUACUCCCGCCGCUUACCCGCGCUUUCUUGAAUUACUUCACGUUGACAUUCAGAGCACUGGACAGAAAUCACAUUGCGUCAGUACCGUCAACGGCCCUCGCAUGGCUUUAUUUUAAUUAUACAGUCGGAGGUCGG